UGAACGCUGGCGGCGUGCUUAACACAUGCAAGUCGAACGAGAACGGGAGUAGCUUGCUACUCUGUCAGCUAAGUGGCGCACGGGUGAGUAAUGUAUAGGUAAUGUACCCCGAAGAGCGGGAUAACGUCUGGAAACGGACGCUAAUACUGCAUACUCCUUCUAAAUAUAAGUUUAGAAGGGAAAUGAAUUUCGCUUCGGGAUCAGCCUUUAUUGUAUCAGCUAGUUGGUGAGGUAAUGGCUCACCAAGGCUAUGACACAUAGCUGAUCUGAGAGGAUGAUCAGCCACACUGGUACUGAGACACGGACCAGACUCCUACGGGAGGCAGCAGUGGGGAAUAUUGCACAAUGGACGAAAGUCUGAUGCAGCAACGCCGCGUGGAGGAUGACACAUUUCGGUGCGUAAACUCCUUUUAUAGGUCAAGAUAAUGACGGUAGCCUAUGAAUAAGCACCGGCUAACUCC
rnacentral:rRNA from 1 species